rnacentral:rRNA from 1 species
UUGAACGCUGGCGGCCGGCCUCACCCCUGCACGUCGAACGGUAACAGGAAGAAGCUUGCUUCUUUGCUGACGAGUGGCGGACGGGUGAGUAAUGUCUGGGAAACUGCCUGAUGGAGGGGGAUAACUACUGGAAACGGUAGCUAAUACCGCAUAACGUCGCAAGACCAAAGAGGGGGACCUUCGGGCCUCUUGCCAUCGGAUGUGCCCAGAUGGGAUUAGCUAGUAGGUGGGGUAACGGCUCACCUAGGCGACGAUCCCUAGCUGGUCUGAGAGGAUGACCAGCCACACUGGAACUGAGACACGGUCCAGACUCCUACGGGAGGCAGCAGUGGGGAAUAUUGCACAAUGGGCGCAAGCCUGAUGCAGCCAUGCCGCGUGUAUGAAGAAGGCCUUCGGGUUGUAAAGUACUUUCAGCGGGGAGGAAGGGAGUAAAGUUAAUACCUUUGCUCAUUGACGUUACCCGCAGAAGAAGCACCGGCUAACUCCGUG